rnacentral:rRNA from 1 species
ACUAACGCUGGCGGCGUGCCUAACACAUGCAAGUCGAACGAUUCUUUGAUUUAUAGCAAUAUUAUUAAAGAGGAGUGGCGAACGGGUGAGUAACACGUAGAUAAUCUGCCUUCAGACGGGGACAACUCAGGGAAACUUGUGCUAAUACCCGAUGAGACCACAAGAAGGGAUUUUUGUGGCCAAAGGCGGGCAGCAAUGCUCGUGCUGAAAGAUGAGUCUGCGUCCUAUCAGCUAGUUGGUGGGGUAAAUGCCUACCAAGGCUAAGACGGGUAGCCGGCCUGAGAGGGUGAACGGCCACACUGGGACUGAGACACGGCCCAGACUCCUACGGGAGGCAGCAGUGAGGAAUUUUCCGCAAUGGGCGCAAGCCUGACGGAGCGACGCCGCGUGAGGGAUGACAGCUUUCGGGUUGUAAACCUCUUUUAUUAAGGAAAAAGAUCUAUAUGCUAAUAUCAUGUAGAUUUGAUGGUACUUAUUGAAUAAGCCCCGGCUAACUACGUGCCAGCCGCCGC